rnacentral:ncRNA from 2 species
CCCCGCCUGUAGGGGAGUCCUCCGCGGAGGGCUGAGAUUGCGGCGCGCACGGCUGCUCGACCCUUGGAACCUGAAACGGAUAAUACCGGCGAAGGAAACACGCAGGGCUGCGCA